rnacentral:miRNA from 1 species
GAGGCGGGAGGAUUGCUUGAGCCUGGGAGAUGGAGGCUGCAGUGAGCUGUGAUCAUACCACUGCACUCCAGCCUGGGUGACAGAGUAAGACCCUAUCUC